GGUCCAAACUGAGUCCUGCCACCGCCUCCCCAUUAACCUGUAGGAUUUCAUCACCAACACCCAGCAGGCCCUCCACCCUGCCAUCACCGACCUUCUCGACGUAUACACCUGGUCUGCAGUGAGGGUGUCCUCUGUAUUCGAAUGGUAGGCUGCGGUCUCCGUGUGGGGCUCGGUGAGGCAGAGCUUGCCCGUUGGAUGGUGGGGAGACUGAGCUGUUCCAUGCUGCUGGAGCGACCCCCCUUCACCAGUCUGCCAACGCUAUUCAGCCCGAUGGAGGAAAAGAAACGACGCAGGAAAAGUUUUGGCCUCCCAUCAAAUUUUCUGUAAGAGGAGAAAUGUUUUUUUCUUCUUCUUUUUUUUACUAACAUGCAAAAAUUCACCAAGUUAUUUUCAGGUUCUAAAUGUGCACAAGUUUCAUAUCCUUCUAGUUUUGAAACUAUCCUAAUGUAGAUCUGCUCCAGAAGAUCAGAAGUUCCUUCACUGUUAGCAUGCUGUCUCUGCACUGAGAUAAAUGCGUUUAAAGGAAAGAACAUAUAUGCUUAUGUAUGCUGAAGUAAACUACAGCCAAAAAAAAAAUUACUUUGUAUUCUCAUAGAUGUAGGAUGUAUAUAUGAAGAAAUAUACUCCAAAUUGUUGUUCAGAAAACUGAAAUAAAAAAGAAAAUAGUGACCUGCAGUGCA